AGGCGGAGCCCUCUGCGCAUAUACACUGCGCACUCCCUCCAUCCAUAACUGAGUGCUUAUACGCAACGUGGAAAUUGUAAAAAAAAUAUAAAAAAAUGUUGAAACAACCAGUAAAAAAGAAGGAACACGGGGAAAACAGAUAAUUAUUUCAGAAUUAAAAGCGGAGAUAAAAAUUCAGUCAUCGGGGUCGCAUAUGGGAGCGAUGCUUCGCGACAGUAGCCGUGUCGGGCCUCUGAGCUCCAAGUCGUUUCGUUUCUUCAGAAAAACUGACUGACACUUUUGUUUCGGUGUGUGUUUUCGUGCCAUCCAAGAAAGAACACUCGAAGGGGGAGGGAGGAGAAAGAAGAGCCGAAGAAGGAACGCCGAAGUUGUGUAGUGGUGGGGGUGGGGGUGUAGUGCGAAAGACUACCCUAAGGAGCCGUCUUUUCCCCUCCGUGCGGAAAAUCUCAAGAACGCGCCGCGGUCGAUAUAAGAAAAUGACGUCAUCGUGCUUUUCUCGCACGCCAUUGGUCGAGCCGGCCAACUCAACAAGGUGGCUUUCAAGUAAAAAUGUUCACCACAGACGUAAAACAACUGUCAUGGUUGAUAUGAAUGUGUUCUGGUGGUGAACUGGUGCCUGCCGUGGAAAAGCAGAGAAGUGGUCAAGACGAGGUUGAAUAAUGGUCUGAAUUCUAUUUAGCUCCUUAGGCUGGUCGGAGUGCAGAACAUGACCGCAAAAAAUACAAUUAUGUAUUCCAUGACGAAUAUUGAUGAUAUACUAAUGGCCGCCCGAUGAUUUACGGGAUUCAAGAUGGAAAUUCAUCAAAUCCCAGAGUAUUGGAAUUAGUAAGCUAAUGACUUAGUUGCAAAUGCUACUUGGUGGAAAUUCACCACAGAAUAGAGUAUUUUUCGAAAUGAUUCACGUACUUUACUCACAAGUAAUAGCGAUAGUGGUGUCAAUAAUAUCUCAACCAUGAUAAGUACGGAGUAUUGCAGAAGCCAUGAACAGAAUUUUACAUCAUAUUAUUCGAAUAUGAAAUUUCUAUGAACUUGCUUUUUAUCAAAUAAUUUGAUGGAGAUGGUGGAAUAUCGAAGUUAUUGAAAUUCUGAAAACUACUGUGAAAUAAAGAAAAUACAGACAACUACAUCCCACGAUUGUUUGAUUAUAAUGUUAUCAUAAUAUGGAUAUUCUUGCAAGAAUCGAUCACUCUACACCCUGUUACUACAUCUCUGGGACAUCUCAUCUCGAUUCAUUCAUCUGGAAGCAGAACGAUCAUCAACCACCUGAAACAAAACAAAAAAUCAUUGUACAUAACAUUUCUCUUAAGGUUUUUACUUAUAUAUUAAUCCAACUCCUCAACAGUGAGUGAUGAUCGAAUAACUUUUCCUAUACUUUAUUUUCUAUAUAAAAUUGAGAAAUUAUCAAGAUAUACUACUGAGAAUAUAAGGA